AGAGUUUGAUCAUGGCUCAGAUUGAACGCUGGCGGCAUGCUUUACACAUGCAAGUCGAGCGGCAGCGCGGGGGCAACCCUGGCGGCGAGCGGCGAACGGGUGAGUAAUGCAUCGGAACGUGUCCCGUAGUGGGGGAUAACCCGGCGAAAGCCGGACUAAUACCGCAUAUGCUCUACGGAGGAAAGCGGGGGAUUCGCAAGAACCUCGCGCUAUGGGAGCGGCCGAUGUCCGAUUAGCUUGUUGGUGGGGUAAUGGCUUACCAAGGCGACGAUCGGUAGCUGGUCUGAGAGGAUGAUCAGCCACACUGGGACUGAGACACGGCCCAGACUCCUACGGGAGGCAGCAGUGGGGAAUUUUGGACAAUGGGGGCAACCCUGAUCCAGCCAUGCCGCGUGCGGGAAGAAGGCCUUCGGGUUGUAAACCGCUUUUGUCCGGAAAGAAAAGGCACCUCCUAAUACGGGGUGCUCUUGACGGUACCGGAAGAAUAAGCACCGGCUAACUACGUGCCAGCAGCCGCGGUAAUACGUAGGGUGCGAGCGUUAAUCGGAAUUACUGGGCGUAAAGCGUGCGCAGGCGGUCCGCAAAGUCUGAUGUGAAAGCCCCGGGCUCAACCUGGGAACUGCAUUGGAAACUAACGGGCUCGAGUGUGGCAGAGGGGGGUGGAAUUCCACGUGUAGCAGUGAAAUGCGUAGAGAUGUGGAGGAACACCGAUGGCGAAGGCAGCCCCCUGGGCUAACACUGACGCUCAGGCACGAAAGCGUGGGGAGCAAACAGGAUUAGAUACCCUAGUAGUCC
rnacentral:rRNA from 1 species